GGGGAAGUGUGGAUUGGUGAGGUGUGGAUGGGUGAGGUGUGGAUGGGGGAAGUGUGGAUGGGGGAAGUGUGGAUGGGUGGGGUGUGGAUGGGGGAGGUGUGGAUGGGGGAGGUGGUUGUUGACUUGCUGUGAGAAAUUGAGCCGUAACGCUGUGCAGCGUAUUGGCUGACGACGGGCGACUGAAUGUGAUCUUCCUCCAUAGGAGCUUGCGGCUGUGACAAGUAGAGGAAAACCAAAAGAUUAUGUAAGUAAGCCUCACAGUUAAUGGCACCUACAAGAAGUAACAAAUAAACAACAUUACCGUAUGGUGAGAGAUAUCAGCUUGUGGCCCCGUCUGGCAUACAUCGUGGGAAGAGACAGGAACGUUGUCGUUUGUUGGUUCAGUCUGACAUCCUUUGUGUGCAAAAGCAGUUUUGCCUUUCUUUACUAAUCCUUCUCCGAGAAGAGUGUUGAAGGCAGAGCGCUUGAACGAAGUUGUAGUCUUCUUGCGCUUAAGCAAUUUGCGAAGCAGCUUUGACUCCUUUUGAAGCUUGGAUACUUGAUCUGAAAUUGCAGUCAGGAGCUCCAGUAUUUUGUCGUUUGAUAUCCUGGAAGAAGACGCGGCAUGAAAGUAACUACUGAUGCGUCUCUGCUUGCGGACCGUGUCUUUUUUCUUUGAUGUCUUCCUUGGUUUGAGGACCUUUUUGGUGACUGGUUUGGCAUUUUUGGGAGGUGCUUCCGGCUUGAUCUUCUUAGAUUUGGGUUGAUCUUCAUCAUUUGUAGCAGUAGUGAUUAAUGGCGCAGAUGUGUCUCCACCAUGCCAAAGGUCCUUCGUGAAGGGGCGAUGGUCAGCUAUAAGUUGCUCCAUGUAUGACACACGGUCGUCGUUUGAGACAUCAGGCCAAACACCCCAUCCAGGUUGUGGUUGGCUAUGUAUUGGUAUCAACGGUGUCACUUGAAGCUGAAGUUUAUCAAAACAUUAACAAAAAUGUCAAGACUUCAGAAAAUAACAGCAAGACAAAAUUAUAAGAGAGUGUAGUAUGUAGCUUACAUCAGGGUCAGCUUCCACACUUAUAAUAUCGCUGGCGCUGGGCGCUGGAUAGGAAGGAAGAUUAGGGCCGUCGAGGUCCAUGAUUGUACGAGAAUCAAACGGGAUGGGAAUGGUUGACUGAAGUUUUGGGAUCGCCUGGUAUGCAAGGAGUUGUAGUGCAAGGGGGAAUCCCCUAAGCCUCAAUGACUCCUGCUUGAGGAGCUGAACCAUUGCUUCGAUUGGGUCCUGACAUUUCUUUGGGACGAACUUCGGAGGUUUCAUGCAGACAAUGGUCUUGAUAAAAGACUCUCUACCCCAAGGAUGUGAGCAGAAAGUGUCAACGUCUUGGACCAUUCUGACAUAUUUCAGAGUAGGGCGUGGCGUUUGUUGAUGAGCAAUGAGGACACCAUCGACUAUUAUUAUCAAAGCAAGCUGUAGCUUCUUUUUCCCCGGCAUGUUCUUAUCGGUCUCCAGCUUGUUACGCAAAUCAGCAAUGGUUGUGAAUCUCUUUUUCCCUAUCAACUUGAUCCAAUCAGGGUCUUUGUUUGCUUGAGACUCGUCUUCUUUAUCAAGGGUGUAUCCAACAGGGAAAGCUCCACAAGGCAAACCGGUAAUGGUGCCAAACUCUUGGAGGCCGAACUUGAUUGGAUCACUUGUGUGUGUUUGUCCGCACAAACUAGUUGUCUGGUCAACAUGGCGUGUAUCAGUUUACCCGAAGACGGACAUUGACGGGCUGGGAGGUCAAAUAACUUCCCGAAGCAAGAGCUCCUAAUAUACUCGAACUCUUCGGUGCCUCGAAGAACAUGACGGAUGAAAGCUAGAAGCUCUGGCUUUGAGUAAAUGUUGUGGCGUCCAAUCGGGAAACGGUCGGUGGCGAAUAGUCUCGGUGGGAGACGGUGGUCCGGUUGAUUGUUGCCUGAAAAAAACCGACGGAACAAAUUAGGAAAAAACUUUAACGGCGGAAUCGAUUUUCUGGGUUUGAACAAAACAUAAACAAAAACCCUAAAGGGGUCGAUUAAGAUGUAAUAUAAACAUAUAAUACUGGAUCUGAACAAAAUAGAUGUAUAUUAGACGAAAACAAACCUUGCAUGACUUGAUGUAGAGGUACAGAAAACGACGGCGGCGGAUGCGAUAGAUUCAGCGGAUGUCAGAGAACGGCGGAGUGACGGAGCUUGUGUGAAGAACGGAAGGAGAUGAAAGGAUCUAUGGAGCUCACUUUCGAAGGAGAGACUGUGAAGAAUUAGUUGUAGGGUUUGGUCGAAAUCGCCGCAAGGCGGAGUGACAGAGAUUGUGUGAAGAAGGGAAAGAGAUGAAAGGAUCUAGCUGGAACCGUCGAAGGAGAGACUGUGAAGAGAGUAGUUCUAGGGUUUGGUCGAAAUCGCCGCAAGGAGGCGUGAGAGAAAGAGAGAGAGAGAAUCGUAAAAGAGAGAGAAAUGUGUAAAUUUGAAUUAGAAAUUGGUUUGGUACAAAGACAUAAACCGAUGUAUAAGAUUUUGUUCUGGUUUGGUUUUUCUACUUUCUCUACCAUAAGGGUAUAGAAGACAAUGACUAAGGAAGAAGUAUGUGACAUGUGCAAUGUGUCUUAGAGAGUAAAUUCAAAGACAUAAAGUGUCUUAGAAGGUAAAAAAUUCAA
rnacentral:lncRNA from 1 species